rnacentral:rRNA from 1 species
UACGGGGGGAGCAAGCGUUGUUCGGAUUUACUGGGCGUAAAGGGCGCGUAGGCGGUCAGCACAAGUCAGUUGUGAAAUCUCCGGGCUUAACUCGGAAAGGUCAACUGAUACUGUGCGACUAGAGUGCGGAAGGGGCAACUGGAAUUCUCGGUGUAGCGGUGAAAUGCGUAGAUAUCGAGAGGAACACCUGCGGCGAAAGCGGCUCUCUGGGACGGUACUGACGCUGAGACGCGAAAGCGUGGGGAGCAAACAGG